rnacentral:misc_RNA from 1 species
GAUGAAGAACGCAGCGAAAUGCGAUAAGUAAUGUGAAUUGCAGAAUUCAGUGAAUCAUCGAAUCUUUGAACGCACAUUGCGCCCCUUGGUAUUCCGAGGGGCAUGCCUGUUCGAGCGUCAUUAUAACCCCUCAAGCUCAGCUUGGUGUUGGGGCCUGCCAACUGGCAGCCCUUAAAAUCAGUGGCGGCGCCAUCUGGCUCUAAGCGUAGUAAUUUCUCUCGCUAUAGGGUCCCGGUGGAUGCUGGCCAACAACCCCCAAUUUUCUAUGGUUGACCUCGGAUCAGGUAGGGAUACCCGCUGAACUUAAGCAUAUCAAUAAGCGGAGGA